AGAAAACCUUAGGUGAACUCUUGUGUAGAGGGACAAAGAUUUUUACAAACUGACAACACCCACAAAGCCUACUCUGACAUUAUUAUGUGUUUACAAUGUGGUAAGAGGUACAAAGAAACUAAGAUGACGUCUUUUUACACAAGUGGCUCAUAAGUCCAGCUGGGGAGAAGACCGUGAUAAUAACAGCCUUUCUUUAGUUUGUCUUUAGAAUUGUCACUUUCUAGUUUCCAAUGUGGUAUGAUAUGUUAUCCUCCUGGCAGCCUGAGGAGAGUAGACGGGGCAGCUGUGAUUCUCAUUAUCAUCUCCAUUCCAUAGGUAAAGAGACUGCGACACCGAGGGCUUCUACCUUGAGCAGUGCAACUGAUACCCAAAUCUUAAAUUUUUCCCGUCCUCCCUUUAUCCACCCCAAAACAUUCAGAGAACACAAAGCCAUGUUGCUAAUGGCCAGGUGCACACCUUGCAUUUUGAUGGAUUGCGUCUCUUACACCCAGUAGCCUGGCAUGCUUUGUUUCCAGGUGCACAGUUCGACCUGUGCUGAUUUCUAAAAUGGUCCAUAAUGUUGUAGAGGGCUCUGGAAUUUACUUAUUGACAUUCUUUUUUAAAAAGAACUCUCUCUGCCUUGGCGUUUUCAUUCCAUUCCAUGUCAAGUUUGUAAAAGCACAUACCACUGGCUACAACUCAUCUCCUUAGU
rnacentral:lncRNA from 1 species